rnacentral:rRNA from 1 species
GGCGAGUGAAGCGGUAAGAGCUCAAAUUUGAAAGCUGGCUCCUUCGGGGUCCGCAUUGUAAUUUGCAGAGGAUGUUUCGGGAGCAGCCCCCAUCUAAGUGUCCUGGAACGGACCGUCAUAGAGGGUGAGAAUCCCGUAUGGGAUGGGGUGUCUGCGCCCAUGUGAAACUCCUUCGACGAGUCGAGUUGUUUGGGAAUGCAGCUCUAAAUGGGUGGUAAAUUUCAUCUAAAGCUAAAUAUUGGCCGGAGACCGAUAGCGCACAAGUAGAGUGAUCGAAAGAUGAAAAGCACUUUGAAAAGAGAGUUAAAAAGCACGUGAAAUUGUUGAAAGGGAAGCGCUUGCGAUCAGACUCGCCUUGGGGGUUCAGCCGGCAUUCGUGCCGGUGUACUUCCCCCAGGGCGGGCCAGCGUCGGUUUGGGUGGCCGGUCAAAGGCCCUUGGAAUGUAACGCCUCUCGGGGCGUCUUAUAGCCAAGGGUGCCAUGCGGCCUACCUGGACCGAGGAACGCGCUUCGGCUCGGACGCUGGCAUAAUGGUCGUAAGCGACCCGUCUUGAAACNACGG